AGUUUGAUCCUGGCUCAGUAUUAGAACGCUGGCGGCAGGCUUAACACAUGCAAGUCGAACGAACCUUCGGUUUAGUGGCGAACGGGUGAGUAAUACCUAGGAAUCUGCCUAUUAGGUGGGGGAUAACGGCUCGAAAGGGUCGCUAAUACCGCAUACGUCCUACGGGAGAAAGAGGGGGAUCUUCGGACCUCUUGCUAAUAGAUGAGCCUAGGCCGGAUUAGCUAGUUGGUAGGGUAAAGGCCUACCAAGGCGACGAUCCGUAGCUGGUCUGAGAGGAUGAUCAGCCACACUGGAACUGAGACACGGUCCAGACUCCUACGGGAGGCAGCAGUGGGGAAUAUUGGACAAUGGGCGAAAGCCUGAUCCAGCCAUGCCGCGUGUGUGAAGAAGGCCUUCGGGUUGUAAAGCACUUUAAGCGAGGAGGAAGGUCUUUGAACUAAUAUUUCAAAGAAUUGACGUUACUCGCAGAAUAAGCACCGGCUAACUCUGUG
rnacentral:rRNA from 1 species